CAGCACUUUACAGUAUAAAUCAACAAAGAAUGACCUCACUUAGUUGUAUAGAAAGUCUCAUUAGUAAGGAAGCAUAUAUGAAUUUUCUGAGUCAAGACCUAUAGUAACUGUUUGUGGUUUUGAUAGGUUAUGUUAGGUUAAGUUUAGGGUAUCUUCAAACACAUGAUAGCCAGCACUUUACAGUAUAAAUCAACAAAGAAUGACCUCACUUAGUUGUAUAGAGAGUCUUGUUAGUAAGGAAGCAUAUAUGAAUUUUUUGAGUCAAUCCAUAUAUAGUAACUUUUGGGUUUUGAUAGGUUAUGUUAGGUUAAGUUUAGGGUAUCUUCAAACACAUGAUAGCCAGCACUUUACAGUAUAAAUCAAUAAAGAAUGACCUCACUUAGUUGUAUUGAAAGUCUCAUUAGUAAGGAAGCAUAUAUGAAUUUUCUAAGUCAAUCCCUUAAGUAACUGUUUGGGGGUUUUGAUAGGUUAUGUUAGGUUAAGUUUAGGGUAUCUUCAAACACAUGAUAGCCAGCACUUUACAGUAUGAAUCAACAAAGAAUGACCUCACUUAGUUGUAUUGAAAGUCUCAUUAGUAAGGAAGCAUAUAUGAAUUUUCUGAGUCAAUCCAUAUAGUAACUGUUUCGGGUUUUGAUAGGUUAUGUUAGGUUAAGUUUAGGGUAUCUUCAAACACAUGAUAGCCAGCACUUUACAGUAUAAAUCAACAAAGAAUGACCUCACUUAGUUGUAUUGAAAGUCUCAUUAGUAAGGAAGCAUAUAUGAAUUUUCUGAGUCAAUCCAUAUAGUAACUGUUUGGGGUUUUGAUAGGUUAUGUUAGGUUAAGUUUAGGGUAUCUUCAAACACAUGAUAGCCAGCACUUUACAGUAUGAAUCAACAAAGAAUGACCUCACUUAGUUGUAUAGAAAGUCUCAUUAGUAAGGAAGCAUAUAUGAAUUUUCUGAGUCAAGACCUAUAGUAACUGUUAGUGGUUUUUGUCAGGUUUUGUUGAGUUUAGGGUAUCUUCAACCUCCCUUCCUUGCCCAUUCCCUUGAGGUCAUUUCCAGCAAUAUUUAUUAAGCAAGAGAGCUUGUAACAUGGCCAUAGCUUGCUUGUGCUUCUAAAUUGUAUGCCUUUCAUUUUUCCUUCCUUUUUUUCUGUUUAAUCUCUCUCCCUUCCUCCUCUUCCUUAUCUCUCUUCCUCAUCCUCCUCCUCUCCCUUCCUUCCUCCUACUCCUCCUCCUGAGAGAGCCUGGGUUCGAUUCCUGGGCAGAGCGGAAAAAUUUGGGCGGCUUUUCCGAUACCCUACGCCCCUUGCCACCCAGCAGUGAAUGGGUACCAGGUAUUAAUCGGGGGUUGUGUCCCGUCUCCUGGGGUCUGUUCCAUUCUCCUAUAAUUCCUUCCCCUUCUGUCUCUCUCCGGCAUAUGACCACAGAUAUUGUGUCCCGUCUCCUGGGGUCUGUUCCCUUCUCCUAUAAUUCCUUCCCCUUCUGUCUCUCUCCGGCAUAUGACCACAGAUGUUGUGUCCCGUCUCCUGGGGUCUGUUCCCUUCUCCUAUAAUUCCUUCCCCUUCUGUCUCUCUCCGGCAUAUGACCACAGAUGUUGUGUCCCGUCUCCUGGGGUCUGUUCCAUUCUCCUAUAAUUCCUUCCCCUUCUGUCUCUCUCCGGCAUAUGACCACAGAUGUUGUGCCCCGUCUCCUGGGGUCUGUUCCCUUCUCCUAUAAUUCCUUCCCCUUCUGUCUCUCUCCGGCAUAUGACCACAGAUGUUGUGUCCCGUCUCCUGGGGUCUGUUCCCUUCUCCUAUAAUUCCUUCCCCUUCCGUCUCUCUCCGGCAUAUGA